GGAAUAUUGGGCAAUGGAGGAAACUCUGACCCAGCAACGCCGCGUGGGGGAAUGAAGGUCUUCGGAUUGUAAACCCCUGUCAUGUGGGAGCAAAUUAAAAAGAUAGUACCACAAGAGGAUGAGACGGCUAACUCUGUGCCAGCAGCCGCGGUAAUACAGAGGUCUCAAGCGUUGUUCGGAAUCACUGGGCGUAAAGCGUGCGUAGGCUGUUUCGUAAGUCGUGUGUGAAAGGCGCGGGCUCAACCCGCGGACGGCACAUGAUACUGCGAGACUAGAGUAAUGGAGGGGGAACCGGAAUUCUCGGUGUAGCAGUGAAAUGCGUAGAUAUCGAGAGGAACACUCGUGGCGAAGGCGGGUUCCUGGACAUUAACUGACGCUGAGGCACGAAGGCCAGGGGAGCGAAAG
rnacentral:rRNA from 1 species